UUUUUUAGUUUAUUAAAGAAUAUGUGUAAUAUUUCCUAUAAUAUAUCUCUAAAAUUAAAAAUUAUGGUAUAUUUGUUGAAUAUUAGCCGGCCGAUAGUCUAAAUGGAGUGGUUACACUGAUUCAGAAAUAGAUCUCUCUCAACCGGCAUGUAGAUGGCGUUGUGGUACUAUGAAAAAAGAACGCCACUGAUCGCUUGGUGACGAAGCAUCGUAUUAUGUGUUCUAAUUCAAAUGGAUAAACCUCAUUGCUAUCCCUACUCCACUCGCUUAUCGUAUCUAAUAAUUUUGUUUUUAACAUGCAAACAAUAACUAUGUUAAUAAAAACUCUGAACUAUGAUAUUCGUGACAGUUGGGAUUUUACUUGUAGUUAGAAAUGACGAGGAUAGUUUAAUUGAAGAAAAAAAUUAAUUUUAUACUUAAAUAUAGUUUUAUCAAGUAAAAACGGCUGGGGAAGUGAAAUACCAUUUACAUAACAUUAUGGUAUGCUAGUUUCUCCUAUUUCAGACAUAACGAUAAGAAAUAAUUGAAAGAUCAUAAUAAAAAUAUAUGAAACCCUUGUAUUUUUUUUUGAGAAAAAAAAUUAUUUAUACAUAAUUUUAAAAUUGUAUUUAUAAAAUGAUUAAAAGUUAAAUGUUGAAAAACUAUUAUUAACUAUUGUGUUAUAAUAAAGAAUCUUGCAAUGAGUUACAAAAAA